rnacentral:RNase_P_RNA from 1 species
CACAGGUAAGGGUGAAACGGUGCGGUAAGAGCGCACCGCGCGACCGGCAACGGAAGCGGCACGGUAAACCCCACCCGGAGCAAGGCCAAAUAGGGGAACAACAGGCGUGGCCCGCGUCGUUCCCGGGUAGGCUGCUUGAGGUCCGCGGUGACGCGGAUCCCAGAGGAAUGAUUGCCCACGACAGAACCCGGCUUAUCGGCCGACUCCCUCU